GCCGGAUAAUCGCGCCUAUUAAGGUGAGGAAAGUCCGUGCAUCCAAGGACAGACUGCCGGAGAAACUCCGGACGGUGUGAAUCGGUGGAAUAGGACCACAGAAAGAUACGGCCGAUGGACAUAUGUCACAGGCAAAGGUGCAAUGGCGAGGUAAGAGCUCACCGACGAUAUCGAGAGGUAUCGGUCAGGCAACCCCCAGUCGGAUGCAAGAUUGAAUGGAAGGUUAUAAAGGUGUCCGCCCACUUCCGAAAAAUCGCUAGAGAUUAGGAGUAAUCCUAAUACAAGACAGAUGAUUAUCUUGAAACAGAACACGGCUUAUGAGCUGCUUUA
rnacentral:RNase_P_RNA from 1 species